rnacentral:lncRNA from 1 species
UAUAUAUAUAUUGCCCUCAGGAGCGUGAUCACGCGUGGCCUGGAGGAAGAGGAGAGGGAGAGAAGAACCGUGGAAUGAAGAGAUGCGUGUGCUGGGGAGCCAUGGAGAAAAGAGCUGGGCUGGAGGAGGGUGCAGAAGAAAUGGCAGCCCAGCAGGAGCAGGGGAAGAGCAGCAGCACCGGCAGGUGGGCAGGCCCCGAGAGGACUGGCCAGCACUCAGUGAGGCCUGGGUCCUGGCAGAGUAGCCCACCUGGGGCAACGGAGGGCGAAGGGUGUGAGGCAAGCGGACAGGCAGCGUGCCCGGAGCUGUCACAGAGCUGGUGAUGUACCCGGGUGCAGCCCCUGCUUGCCUUCUUCUGGGGUGUUAUUUACAACAAACAGGGAACUCCGGUUCAACUGCAGCUUCUGAAUUUGGUUUUUCAUAUAUUGGGUUCUUUUUUCAAAAAUCAUCAUUUUAAAAAUGGACACAUAAUAAACGUACGUAUUCACGGGGUACAGUGUGGUAUUUUGACACAUGUACACCAUGUGCAAUGGUUAAAUCAGGGUAAUUAGCAUAUCCAUCACCUCAAAUAUUUGUCUUUCCUUUGUGUUGGGAACACUCAAAACCCUCUCUUCCAGCUAUUUUGAGAUGUACAGUAGAUCAUUGCCAGAACACCAAAACGCCGCCGUCCUAGCCAGCCGUCUGUGCCUGCCCCUUCCCUCCUUCGCAGCCUCUGGAACCACUGUCCCCCUCUGCCUUGAUGGGCCGACGCAUUUACUUGCUCACAGGAGUGAGAAGGUGCGCUUGGUCUUCUGCCCCUGGCUGGCUUCGCUUGGCAUGACGUCCUCUGGGCCCUUCCUGGUUUCCAUGCUUCCGUGUGGCUGCACAGAGCCCUGAUGUUCCCGCGAGUCUCAUUGUCUUCAUUCACGGGACUGUGUCUGGGCUCUUGUGGACGAUGCUGCGUAAGCUUGGGAGUGUGACCCUCUCUGCAUACUGUUUUCUUUCCUUAGGAUGAAUGUGCAUGGGUCGGACAGCAGGUCUGCCUGCGCAAGUCGGCUCCAGCGCCUGUCCGCCAGCAGCGUCCAGGGCUCCCUCCUCUGCAUCGCGCGGUAUUGGCCACCACUAUCUGCUGUGGUUUCUGUUGCUUCCGCUGGAUGACAGCCAUUCUAACUGGGAUGAGAUGAUCUCACUGUGAUUUUGAUUUGCAUUUUCCUGAUAAUUAGUGAUGCUGAAGAUUUCUUCAUGCACUUGGUGGCCCUGUGUACGUCUGCUGUUGAGAAAUGCUUGCUCAGAUCACUUGCUCAUUUUUAUAAUCAGAAUAUUCGUUUUGUUCCACCUCGAUAGCCAUGGAAACCAAAACACAAACCCCUACAUUUUGUCCAAUGAGGUUAAAAUAUUUCUUCUACUUUCCCAUCAUAAAAGCUGCACUUAAAAGGGAAAUGUGGAGCUUCGCUUAGCAACUGCAAAUGUGCGCGAAGGCAGGCGCCCGCUCGGUCCUCCCAGCACCUGCUGUAGGAGGAAUCCAGCAGCCUCUGCACCACCAUUUCCGGGUCCUCCCAGGGAAUGGCUCUGUCACCCUCCAGCUCUGCC